UAUCAACAAGACUUAUGUUUCUGCAUUUUAGACAUUUAUUAUAGCAAGAAAUGCCAUGACUCAUUUGAAUUCUACAUCCAGGGGGACAUGAACUCAGCAAAAUCACUGGAAAUGCUGGUGACAGAAUAGCAUGUGGUAAAUUAUUAAACUUCAGAGAAUUUUUGUUUGUGUCUAGAAAAUCAUUAUCAAUUGAAAAAGGGAAUCCGAUUUCUCAUAAUUUGAGCUCAUCUUUUUCUUCACCAUCUACGUAUGUGAGCAGAUUUCUGUUUGGUCAAUCGUCUUUGUGCAGGUAUCAUUGGUUUGCAAGAAUAGUAUGAUUCUCCAGAGAAUCAUACUAAGACAAAGGCAGCUGAAUAAUUGUGUAUUUGCUAGCUGGACAAAAUGUUACAAGACCUUCACUCAUUUUGAAUCAAAUUAAGAACAAAUCGUACUAUGCUUUUUGCUGGUUUGAUUUUGUGUGAUGCAAAAUUUUGUAUGCUUUGUUUGAUCUCAUAAAUUUAAGCUUCCUUUUGGUUUGCUUCAAAUUUUCUGUGGAGAUUUUGUUCCCUUUUUGCUCAAUGAUCUGUAUGCAAAAUUUCCUGUCUCUCGAAAAAUUAUAAAAUAAAAUCGAAUUAUGUAUAAUAGUUU
rnacentral:misc_RNA from 1 species